UCUGUUACUGGAGAGAAAAGACAGGUAAGCAACACAUGACAACUGCAAAAGAUGUUUAUAGUGGUGACUUUUACUUGGGACAGGAAAAUUAUAAGAGCUGUGUGAAAAUAUGUUAUUGUGUACUGACAAAAUUUAAGGAAGCACAGCAAAACUUCAACCUGGGAAAAUGGGGCACAACAAAGUUCACUGGAGACACUUACUGGGGUUAUGAUUUGAAUCUUUGAACGGAAUUCAAAACAAUGAAGUUACAAGUA
rnacentral:lncRNA from 1 species